rnacentral:lncRNA from 1 species
GAUGUUCGAGAAGAGCAAGAUGGUGACGAUAGCCACGGGGCUGGACCUCCUCAGCUACUCGAUCUGCAUCUUCUUGUCAUCAGCUUCUCUCUACAUCCUGCACAAUCUUCACAAGGGCGACCAUGAGGAGUGACGAGAGUGAAAUGCCGAAUUUGUAGCCUAGAGAGAGUUGAUGGUGUUGUCCAAUAAUCAAUACUGGAUUUUUAAGACUCUCUUCAACGGUCUUCUCUUCAUAAAAUAUAAAAUGAAAAAUAUAUGAUACAAUUUAUCUAUAUCAGAAGACCGAAUCACGAAUAGACACAAAUUAAAGGUCAAAUUACAACCAAUAUUCAUUCAAGGAAGCAACCUACAUAAAUAGAUAUAAUUAAUUAGUCAAAUAUUCAUGGGCCUUCAAAUUAAUAAUUAAGAAGCGAAAAUUUAUUAGUUUAUAAGAGAAUAAAACAUACCACUAAUAUUUGGAGCAACAAUAUACGACCUUUUUUCAUCUAUUCAAAUCGUAUUUUCCUCUUUUCGUUAUCAAUAUUUCUAAAUAUCUACUUAUUAUAGUAUAUCAUCACAUCAUUGAGCUGCUUAUCACUCAUUUACUAUAUAAUUUCAAAUUUUAGGGGUUAUGGGAGGGACAUAUGAGCUCGAAAGCGAUAGGGGGCUAGAGCCCCACUCACCUCACCUUUACCAUCGUCCUUGCUUGUGAACAUGCUUGGCUAUAAGAUUAGCUCCAUAUUACGUAGCUUCUUUGUGAUAUUAAUCAUAUUUAAUCUGAACCUGAUAAUAAUGUGUAACUAGUGGAUCGUGCAAAUAAUAUUUUCGACGCCGUCGAGCUUCCUUUGCAUCCAUUAUCAAAGGGUUUGUGGCAAAAGUACAUACUAAUUGUGUCAUAUACUCCAUCGGUUCAUAAAUAUAUGACAUUUUUAACUUUAAAAAAACUUUGAUCACUCGCCUAUUCAAAAAAUAAUUAGUUAUUAUUUAUUUUAUUGUGAUUUGUUUUAUCACUUAAGGUAGUUUGUAGUUGAAUUGAAAUUUUAUAUUUUUGAAUAAAUAUUUUGAAUAAGACGAGUGGUUAAAGUUUUAAAAAAGUCAACGGUGUCAUAUAUUUGUGAACGGAGGUAGUAUAUGUUAUGAACACAGUAGUGGAAUUUGCUAUGUAGGAAAAAAACUAUUCAAAAUUUUUAAUAUAAAGGUAGACGCAUAUGAUUUAUGUUUCUCUUUCAAUUUUGUCCACUUGUAAGCGAAAUUGUUUCUUCUCCAUCGGACAUUUCAGAAACAGAAGCUUAAGGUGCAAAGUGAGGAUUAAGAAGUUAUUUUCCUGUUUUUCUGCAAAUAGGAAAGUGCAGGCGCGGAAACAAUGAUGAAGGGGAUAUCUAUUGGUAGUAGUCAAACGUCCAAAACCCAAAAAAGGAAAACGAUGUUCAGAAUAGCAGUAAAUGACUUUCCGUUUGCCUUGUUUUGGCGAUCAGGCAUUUAUGUGUUUGCUUGGUUGAUUUGUAGUCACUUGAAAAUGAAUGAAGCCGAUAAAGGGUGAGAACACUUUAAUGAUAUCUAACAACGACCAUUGGAUCAGCAGACUUAGUGUCUCAAGUAAAAGGGAUAUGUAAUCACGAAUGCUACUGACGAAAAACCUAUUAUUUCUUAAUGUACCCAUGAAAGAAUUGGGUAGAGUAGGUAGAAGGCUGAGAGAUAAAUGGUUGCCGACCAUCAUGAAAUAUUGAUAUAAUAACCAUGAACCAAAGAAUAUAUCAGUACUCAUAUAAUUAGCUGACCCUAUCUAAAGAUGAAUAUAAAUGUGCACACGAUGCAAGCAAAUGUCUAGCAGGAUACAUCACAACAGCUUCAUAUGUAUACGUAAUCCAAUGUGAAUAAUUGAGGUUAAAUAUCGUCUAUGAAAUCCAAUUACUAAUUAUACCAAAUAAGAUUGGUACAUUAUUAGCAGGAGUAUAUAUGCGCAAAGUAAAAUGACGAAAAAAUUUGGGACCAUCUCUAGACUUACCUGCAUAAGAGGUGAACAUUUAGAAGCCGGCCGUAAAAGAAUGGCGCAGUUGAACGUGAAUCGUUGAUAUAGUAUUCAGAAACCAAAAAAUGUAUGAGUGACCGACCAUAUAAUCAGACCAACUGACUUAAAGUAAAAUAUGGAAACACGCCUUCGAGCAUAGCAUUUGAUCCGUACUCAUCCGAGGAUGUAAUGAUGAGGUUCGUCCUGUGAACUGAAUACCAAGUCACGGUACAGAAGGUUUUAAGCUGUAAAGCAAUCACGGUGUCGUUGCAGCGGAUGAGGGAGCUGUAAAAUCACAAUUAGCAUGUUUUGUUAGACUCGCACAGGUAACGUACGUAUGAAAUAUCUAAUAUAGUUGAUAUAAUCAGCAGCAACAAAUUAUAAAUGACCUUUAGUAGCGUAUAUGUAUUUAUUAGGAUAAAGUGUUGGGACACUUCAUCGAUCAACGAACCAGCGUGUACGACUGACAACACCGGCAUGACUGCAAUAUGUAGUGGAGAAAAAAAAUGUGUUGAGACAUUUCAUCAAACAACCCGAGGGCGUGGCUGGAAGCAGGUCUAUGUUGACCUCACCGGCAUGACUGCGAAGCAGAGGACGGCGCUGUCAAGGAAGUUUCAGGUUACACAGGUGCUACGGUGCAAGGACGAGUGUGCAGGACGCAGCAGCAGGUCUGGCGUGUGCCGAGCGACAGCAACGACGAUGGCGAACACAAUCUUUGACAGCCGCAAAUCACCGUGUGCGAUGACAUAAGAAGCGAACACAAAACCAGCGGCCGCGUCUGAACGAUGGCGACACCGAUAGAGUACAGAGUAGAAGAAGGGAGGAAUAAAUCGCAUGGGACGCGGAGACGAAUCUGACGCGGUUGAAGCUGCUUCCGACGACCAGGAAGGAUUCUGUGUUCGCUCGCCGAGUUGAAACCCUAGUCGCCCUCCCCAAAACCCUCGGUGCUGAAGCAAAGCUGAGUGGGAACGGUGUUUCUGGAGAGACCGAGGCAGUUAAAAAGCGACGUUGCCUCUCUUUGGCCGGCUUGAUGCACGGCAUUGUAUAUGAAAAUAAAUAAAUAAAUAAGCUAGUAUAAAUAUUUUAUGAUUUUUUUAAAAAAACUUAUAAACUGAUAAAAGUUUUUAAAUAACAAUGUUAUAGUGU